UACGUAGGGGGCAAGCGUUGUCCGGAUUUAUUGGGCGUAAAGCGCUCGCAGGCGGUCCGAUGCGUCGUGCGUGAAAGACCCCGGCUCAACUGGGGAGGGUCGUGCGAUACGGUCGGACUCGAGGCCAGUAGGGGGACGCGGAAUUCCGGGUGUAGUGGUGGAAUGCGUAGAGAUCCGGAGGAACACCAGCGGCGAAGGCGGCGUCCUGGACUGGUACUGACGCUCAGGAGACGAAAGCGUGG
rnacentral:rRNA from 1 species